CGGCGCGCGGCGUUCGCGGCGCUGGAAGGCUCGAGGCGGCGGGCGGCCGGGGAGCGGGCGGAGGCUGGGACGCUGGGCCACGGGCGCCUCAGCGAUGUUUUACUCAGGGCUCCUCACCGAGGGCGGCCGCAAGGAGACGGACAUGCGGGAGGCGGCGUCGCUGCGGCAGCAGCGCCGGAUGAAGCAGGCGGUGCAGUUCAUCCACAAGGACUCGGCCGACCUGCUGCCCUUGGACGGCCUCAAGAAGCUGGGCUCGUCCAAGGACACGCAACCUCACAACAUUCUGCAGAGACGGCUCCUGGAAACCAACCUGUCUAAGCUGCGAAGCAGUCGUGUCCCUUGGGCCUCCAAGUCCAGCAGACUGAGUCAGGCCAAGUCGGAGGGGCUCAGGAAGUCUGAGGAGGACAUGAUCUGGGUUCCUUGCCAGUGUGCUGGAAAGGAUGUGAAAGCCUUGGUUGACACGGGCUGCCAGUACAAUCUCAUCUCUUCAGCCUGUGUGGACCGACUGGGGCUCAAGGAGCACGUCAGAUCUCACAGGCUCGAGGGAGAGAAGCUCUGUCUCCCCCGGCAUCUGAAAGUGAUGGGGCAGAUUGAGCACCUGGUGAUCACCCUGGGCUCCCUCCGCCUGGACUGCCCAGCAGCUGUGGUUGAGGACAAUGAGAAAACCUUGUCUCUUGGUCUCCAGACUCUCCGAUCUCUGAAGUGUGUCAUAAACUUGGACAAGCACCGGCUGAUCGUGGGGAAGACAGACAAGGAAGGGAUCCCUUUUGUGGAGACGGUUGCCGUGAAUGAAGACAAUGACUGCCUUCAUGUUGUGGAUCCCAUGCCUGUGCGGGGGCCAGACGUGGAAGCAUACUGUCUACGCUGCGAGUGCAAGUACGAGGAAAGAAGCUCCGUUACCAUCAAGGUCAGCCUUCGCUGCGGCUCCAGCGUCCUCACACAAACCUCCGAGUUCUUGGCUUGAAAGAGACGUAACUUGUUCGCAAUUUCCUCCAGGUCACCAUUAUAAUUUACCUCUCCAUUCUGGGCCUUCUGCUCCUGUACAUGGUGUAUCUUACUCUGGUGGAGCCCAUACUGAAGAGGCGUCUGUUUGGCCACUCUCAGCUGAUGCAGAGCGACGACGACGUUGGGGAUCACCAGCCUUUUGCAAAUGCCCACGACGUGCUGGCCCGCUCCCGCAGCCGAGCCAACGUGCUGAACAAGGUGGAGUACGCCCAGCAGCGCUGGAAGCUUCAGGUUCAAGAGCAGCGAAAAUCCGUCUUUGACCGUCACGUUGUCCUCAGCUAAGUGGGAACCGCGUUCAAGGCGACUGGAAGAAAUGAGGCAGACGGUGGGGAAAGCUGACUGUUUCCCGGGCUUUGGUUUUCAUACCCUGUUGAUUUCACCAGCUCUUGCUGGAAAAUUCAAAACUGGAAACAAAACCGUGCGUGGUCGUUUCUUUUCUCGUUCAUGUAUCACUGGAGACAUCUGAAAAGCACACACCUCAGACAGAGUCGGCCACCAGGCCUUUCCCAUCCGCGACUCUUUCUGAUAAGUCUGCCUGCAGAUCAUCUUGACGUCCUUCACCUGGAGAAAGCACCCUCUUUGACCACAAAGUUUUAACUUGGUUUUCAAGAUAAUUUUCAGGCGGAGUUUCUGCGCGGUGUCUUUUGGUUUGGUUUUUGGCAGGGGAGGGAGGGGUGCGUGGGACAUGCUGACCGUAACUUUUCUCAAGUCGCUUUACUGAACAAACUUUUGUACGUAGACGUUGCCUUUGUUUCCAAGUUUCGCCUGCAUCUCGCGGCGGAGCGAGCCUGCUCCGAGCCCCGACUCACCCGUCGGAGUUGUGCGCUGUGUUAGCUGGACAUCUGGUUGGCUGGGGCUGCACCUCAUGCUGAACUGGAUCUGAAAUGCCUGGUGGCUUUUCGCAAGAUGCAGAUUUUCUUUAUACUGCGGUGUCUGAUGCAAUGCAUCCUGGAACAAACUGGCCAUCUGCUUUACUUUAAUGACCAGUCUCGGUUGUGAGCAGUCUCGUCUUCCUCUGGUAUCUUUAAGGAUGAAUCCUAAGGACGUGGACGCUUGCAAUAAAGACACGUUCCUUUAAGCCCGAGCCUCUCCGAAUUGAAGACACACGCCUACUUGUCAGCAUCCCAGUCAGGCUGGGAGGCCGCUCCUUGAGCUCCAGUGUGUGCAGCUCUGAUGGACGACUGGAGUCCUGGCUGCCUCCCUUGGGGAAAAAAAGGUGUAACAGUUAGUGAAUAACUGGCUUUUUCCUCCUAUGUCCUCUUUGAAAUGUAACAAUAAAAAUGAUUUUUGAAACGCCUA